GUCCUAGCCGUAAACGGUGCAUGUUUGCUGUAAAAGGAAUCGACCCCUUUUGUGGCGUAGCCAACGCGUUAAACAUGCCGCCUGGGAAGUACGGUCGCAAGAUUAAAACUCAAAGAAAUUGACGGGGGCCUGCACAAGCGGUGGAGUAUGUGGCUCAAUUCGAUGCAACGCGAAGAACCUUACCUGGCCUUGACAUGUACGUAGUAGAAGGGUGAAAGCCUGACGACCUCGCAAGAGGAGCGUACACAGGUGCUGCAUGGCUGUCGU
rnacentral:rRNA from 1 species